UUAAUCUUAAAUCAAGCAUGGCUUCUCAGGAGGAACACAGCGGGACGUCGAAGCGUUUGAAAAGGCUUUGCACAAAAGCGAUUUCGAGCGCUUCUAGGGUUGUGAUUAGCUAUUGUACCCCCACGCUGGGGAGUAGAACGAUAAAAUAUUACGUCCAAAACCAAGCGUGGGAUUCUUGGUCCAACCGGACGGAACGUGAAGACUUGACUGUCAGAUAGCUUGUGUAUUUAUCGUAAGAAGCUGCUAACUUUUUAGCUUAUCAUUCCGGCUGUUCCACAGACCAAACUGUGGUCAAAAGUGUUGAUGAAAAUGUCCAACAUUUUCAAUUUAAUUAUGUUUCCGUUGGCCUUGACAACAAGUUUUUGUUCGGUGUCCACCAAAAAUUACACAUGGACCAUGUUUGUGUCAUCGUUUGUCGCCCAAGGGAGACAAGCUAAGGACAGUUGAUGGGUGAAAAUCCACAAAACUUUUAAAUUUGAUUCUACUCCUGAAAACAACUUACUACUUUCAUAGCAGAAAAGUGCACAAGCAAGGAUACUUGGAAAAUAGCCUUCGAGUCUCCUUUAUUCUAAACACUACUUUCAGUUGACUGAAAAGUCCUUUCUUUAGUUUUUGUAAUUACCAACUUCUAAAGAGAAUCGUUUAUGCAAGUUUUAUGGACGAUUACGUGGUUGGUAUAAUUACGUUUUGAGGUUGUUAACAACUUUGUUGACUAACUUAUCAUAAGGUUCCGGCGUUCGAUUGUUCCGCAAUGAUAUGGAGACUACUUCAGGUAAUGUGUUUCUGAAUCUACCGCAAGGGUUCAGGAAGAGCACCAUCCCGUUUAGAUUCCGCCGAAAAGCUUACGUGGCUGAGAACAAUUUAUACAAAGCUUCACGCGUUCGAUCGCACUCACGACAUAAAUGGAUUUUUUCAAAUUAUAGAAACUCUCGUUUGUGUUUUUGGUAAAGGUGUUAUUAUACGUUUUAACUUACCGCCAGCUUUUUACUAUGUUAUAUGCGGGCCUGUGUAAUAACUUACUUUACUUAGACUGUGAUAUAUAGCAUAGCUUCGAUCGAAAUUCAUUGACGUUUUUUAUAGCAAUAAAUGGGUUUUAUUUUUCUGCA